UAGAAACUCUGUUUUCGAUUCUAUCCCAUCUCUUUCUCUUUUUUAUCUCAAUUUCAAUUCUUCUGGAAAAAUACUUUGAUCCUCGCCUAUCUCUCGGAAACUAAUAACACAAAAAUGAAAACUUGUUUCUCGAAUUGAAACUUAGAUCAUAUCAUCUCUAGCUCACAAUUUAAACAUUUUCUAAUUAGUUCAUCUUUCUAAAUAACUAUUUUAUUAUUAAAACUCAAAAACUCUGUUUGGUUGUAAAAUACUUGUUAAACGAGGAUAUUUCAAACCUAGUUAACAAGUGUUUGUAAAGUCCUUGUUGUCAUGUACACCGUCAUAGAGAACUAUAAAUACAAGCAUUCGUGAGGAAACCAAGCACAAUCAAAUUCGUCACAUCUUCUUCAUUCUCUGGACGGGUUAAGGUGAAAUUAAAAGGAGUAUGAAAAGGAGUACAGGUGUCCGGUAUGCGAUGAAUAUAGGUACAAGUUUAAUGACGGUAAAGGUACACCGGAACGCUCAAACGAUACAUGGAAAUUAACUCUUGCCCAGAAGGUUCAAUUGCGGAGGCUUACAAUAACAAUGAAUGUUUGACAUUCAGCUCGAUGUACUUCCGUGACACUGAAACUAAAUUUAAUCGGAAAGAACAAAAUGAUGAUGGUGUGGAUGAUGAUGAUGUCUAGGAAGGAGAGGUAGACGAGGCAUUGUUCCGGUUGAUGAUGAUUCAGAUAUAGAGUAUUAGUUGUUUGCACUCAUUUACUUAAAAAUAUUUGUUUAGUUUGAUAAUAAUUUUGAUUAGAAUAAUAGCUCUUUUUCAUAUAUAUUCAUAUAUAUAUAUAUAUAUAUGUUGAACUAAGUGAUUAAUUAUUUUUGUUGCUC